CUGUAAGAGGAAUGAUGUAUUACUAUAAGGCUCUUACGAUGCUGGCAUACUUAGAUUCCGCAUCUGAAAUGGACAUUAAAA